GGAGAGGUGGCUGAGUGGUCUAAGGCGGCGGUCUUGAAAACCGUUGUCCCGUUCACCGGGACCGUGGGUUCGAAUCCCACCCUCUCCGCCA
rnacentral:tRNA from 1 species